rnacentral:rRNA from 1 species
UACGUAGGGUGCGAGCGUUGUCCGGAAUUACUGGGCGUAAAGAGCUCGUAGGCGGUUUGUCGCGUCUGCCGUGAAAGUCCGGGGCUCAACUCCGGAUCUGCGGUGGGUACGGGCAGACUAGAGUGAUGUAGGGGAGACUGGAAUUCCUGGUGUAGCGGUGAAAUGCGCAGAUAUCAGGAGGAACACCGGUGGCGAAGGCGGGAUCCUGGGCCAGUACUGACGCUGAGGAGCGAAAGCGUGGGAGCAAACAGG